GACGAACGCUGGCGGCGUGCCUAAUACAUGCAAGUAGAACGCUGAAGAGAGGAGCUUGCUCUUCUUGGAUGAGUCGCGAACGGGUGAGUAACGUGUGGGAACCCUCCUUGAUAGCGGGGGAAAUCUAUGGAAAACGAUCGCAAAUCCCGCAUAAAAUGGUUUUGCAUAUGAUAAGCUAUAAAAAGGUGAAAGUGCAUCACUACCAGAUGGAUCUGCGUUGUAUUAGCUAGUUGGUGGGGUAACGGCUCACCAAGGCGACGAUACAUAGCCGACCUGAGAGGGUGAUCGGCCACACUGGGACUGAGACACGGCCCAGACUCCUACGGGAGGCAGCAGUAGGGAAUCUUCGGCAAUGGACGGAAGUCUGACCGAGCAACGCCGCGUGAGUGAAGAAGGUUUUCGGAUCGUAAAGCUCUGUUGUAAGAGAAGAACGAGUGUGAGAGUGGAAAGUUCACACUGUGACGGUAUCUUACCAGAAAGGGACGGCUAACUACGUG
rnacentral:rRNA from 1 species